CACAGCCCCGUCAGUGCUAACCUGGCUCAUUUUCUUUGCAUUCUUGUACACCGGAAGAGUCCCCGAAAUGUUGAUGGACCCCAAACCUCAGGACCAAACAUCUGAAUAAGACCUGAAAAUGGCUGUGCAGUGCUGUUCCUAUCCAACCUGACAGAGCUUGAGGGGAUCUGCAGUGAAGAAUGUGAGAAACUCCCCAAAAACAGGGAAUCCACGCAUGGGUCUGGGUUACCGGAUGACCGGGAACCGAUCUUUAAGAAUGCACUGUAAGUAUAUUCAGUUUCUUUGUUGAUUGAUAUUUUCUUUAGACAGUAUGUGUAUUACAUAAUAAACUGUUUAUGUGGUGUUUGAUUUCAGGUUCAAAUUAAAUGUACAAGAAACUAAACUUUGUUCAUGUUGUGUCGUCAUCUAAAUAGACAAAUUUGCUAGAAAGCACACAGACAAGUUUGCAGCAUAAAUUUUUUAUAUUCUCACAUAUUCUCACAUAAGACAUUUUUGAUUAAAUACAAAAAAAUCACAUCAACAAAUACCU